rnacentral:rRNA from 1 species
AGUCUGAGGAAAGAGAAAUAAUCUCAGAUAAAACCUGCCCAGUGUUACAAUAAUAACUAAUCAACGGCCGCAGUACUUUGACUGUGCUAAGGUAGCGUAAUCAGUUGGCUUUUAAUUGAAGUCGUGUAUGAAUGGAUUUUUGGGGUUUAACUAUCUUAAUAAAGUUUAUUUGAAUUUAAUUAAAGGGUGAAAAUUCCCUUAAGUAUAGAUAAAGGACGAUAAGACCCUUGGAGUUUAUACUAGUAGGUUAUAUUAACAAAUUAACUUAAGGUUUUUGCUGGGGCGGCAAAGAGGAAUUAGUAAUCCCUCUUAAAGUAUUAGCCGAUAGUUUUAAGUAAAUUUAAACUACCCAAGGGAUAACAGCAUAAUUUUUUAUAAAGUUUGUGACCUCGAUGUUGGACUAGGAAUUUACUAGAUUAGCCGUCUAGAUAUAUUGUUCUGUUCGAACUAAUUUUCC